rnacentral:rRNA from 1 species
AGUGAACGUUGGCGGCGUGGAUUAGGCAUGCAAGUCGAGCGAGAACCGUAGCAAUACGGGGACAGCGGCGAAAGGGACAGUAAUGUGUAGGUACCUACCUCCGGGUUCGGGAUAGCUGCGGGAAACUGCAGGUAAUACCGAAUAGCGUCUCCGGACCGAAGGUGUGAUUCCACCUGGAGAGGGGCCUGCAUCCUAUUAGCUUGUUGGCGGGGUAACGGCCCACCAAGACGACGAUGUGUAGCGGGUGUGAGAGCACGACCCGUGUCAUUGGGACUGAGACACUGCCCAGACACCUACGGGUGGCUGCAGUCGUGAAUCUUCGGCAAUGGGCGCAAGCCUGACCGAGCGACGCCGCGUGCGGGAUGAAGGCCUUCGGGUUGUAAACCGCUGUCGUAGAGGAGGAAAUGCAGGGGGGUUCUCCCCUCUGUUUGACCUAUUCUAGGAGGAAGUACGGGCUAAGUUCGUGCCAGCCGCCGCAGUAA